rnacentral:rRNA from 1 species
GACGAACGCUGGCGGCGUGCUUAACACAUGCAAGUCGAACGGAAAGGCCCUGCUUUUGUGGGGUGCUCGAGUGGCGAACGGGUGAGUAACACGUGAGUAACCUGCCCUUGACUUUGGUAUAACUUCAGGAAACUGGGGCUAAUACCGGAUAGGAGCUCCUGCUGCAUGGUGGGGGUUGGAAAGUUUCGGCGGUUGGGGAUGAACUCGCGGCUUAUCAGCUUGUUGGUGGGGUAGUGGCUUACCAAGGCUUUGACGGGUAGCCGGCCUGAGAGGGUGACCGGCCACAUUGGGACUGAGAUACGGCCCAGACCCCCACGGGAGGCAAGAGUGGGGAAUAUUGCACAAUGGGCGGAAGCCUGAUGCAGCAACGCCGCGUGCGGGAUGACGGCCUUCGUGUUGUAAACCGCUUUCGCCUGUGACGAAGCGUGAGUGACGGUAAUAGGUAAAGAAGCACCGGCUAACUACGU